rnacentral:rRNA from 1 species
GACGAACGCUGGCGGCGUGCUUAACACAUGCAAGUCGAACGGAAAGGCCCUGCUUUUGUGGGGUGCUCGAGUGGCGAAAGGGUGAGUAACACGUGAGUAACCUGCCCUUGACUUUGGGAUAACUUCAGGAAACUGGGGCUAAUACGGGAUAGGAGCUCCUGCUGCAUGGUGUGGGUUGGAAAGUUUCGGCGGUUGGGGAUGGACUCGCGGCUUAUCAGCUUGUUGGUGGGGUAGUGGCUUACCAAGGCUCUGACGGGUAGCCGGCCUGAGAGGGUGACCGGCCACAUUGGGACUGAGAUACGGCCCAGACUCCUACGGGAGGCAGCAGUGGGGAAUAUUGCACAAUGGGCGGAAGCCUGAUGCAGCAACGCCGCGUGCGGGAUGACGGCCUUCGGGUUGUAAACCGCUUUCGCCUGUGACGAAGCGUGAGUGACGGUAAUGGGUAAAGAAGCACCGGCUAACUACGUG